GAAGUUGGAUCAUAAGAGAUGGUGAGGAUCUGGUUCAUUCUCGAAUUCAGUCUCAUAUCGAAUCAAAAGAGAACGCUCAUUCUUUCCAUCUCUCGUGACCCUUCUUC